GCAUAUCAAUAAGCGGAGGAAAAGAAAAUAACAAUGAUUUCCCUAGUAACGGCGAGUGAAGAGGAAAGAGCUCAAAGUUGGAAACUGUUUGGCUUAGCUAAACCGUAUUGUAAACUGUAGAAACAUUUUCCUGGCACGCCGGAUUAAUAAGUCCUUUGGAACAAGGCAUCAUGGAGGGUGAGAAUCCCGUCUUUGAUCCGAGUAGUUGUCUUUUGUGAUAUGUUUUCAAAGAGUCAGGUUGUUUGGGAAUGCAGCCUAAAUUGGGUGGUAAAUCUCACCUAAAGCUAAAUAUUUGCGAGAGACCGAUAGCGAACAAGUACCGUGAGGGAAAGAUGAAAAGAACUUUGAAAAGAGAGUUAAACAGUAUGUGAAAUUGUUAAAAGGGAACCGUUUGGAGCCAGACUGGUUUGACUGUAAUCAACCUAGAAUUCGUUCUGGGUGCACUUGCAGUCUAUACCUGCCAACAACAGUUUGAUUUGGAGGAAAAAAUUAGUAGGAAUGUAGCCUCUCGAGGUGUUAUAGCCUACUAUCAUACUCUGGAUUGGACUGAGGAACGCAGCGAAUGCCAUUAGGCGAGAUUGCUGGGUGCUUUCGCUAAUAAAUGUUAGAAUUUCUGCUUCGGGUGGUGCUAAUGUUUAAAGGAGGAACACAUCUAGUAUAUUUUUUAUUCGCUUAGGUUGUUGGCUUAAUGACUCUAAAUGACCCGUCUUGAAACACGGACCAAGGAGUCCACCAUAAGUGCAAGUAUUUGAGUGACAAACUCAUAUGCGUAAGGAAACUGAUUGAUACGAAAUCUUUUGAUGGCAGUAUCACCCGGCGUUGACGUUUUAUACUGAACUGACCGAGGUAAAGCACUUAUGAUGGGACCCGAAAGAUGGUGAACUAUGCCUGAAUAGGGUGAAGCCAGAGGAAACUCUGGUGGAGGCUCGUAGCGAUUCUGACGUGCAAAUCGAUCGUCAAAUUUGGGUAUAGGGGCGAAAGACUAAUCGAACCAUCUAGUAGCUGGUUCCUGCC
rnacentral:rRNA from 1 species